rnacentral:rRNA from 1 species
GGAAUUUUCCGCAAUGGGCGAAAGCCUGACGCAGCAACGCCGCGUGAGGGAUGAAGGCCUUCGGGUCGUAAACCUCUGUCAGAGGGGAAGAACGAGAGUGACGGUACCCUCAAAGGAAGCACCGGCUAACUCCGUGCCAGCAGCCGCGGUAAUACGGAGGGUGCAAGCGUUGUUCGGAAUCAUUGGGCGUAAAGAGCGUGUAGGCGGCCUGUUAAGUCUGAUGUGAAAGCCCCGGGCUCAACCCGGGAAGUGCAUCGGAUACUGGCAGGCUUGAGUACGGGAGAGGGAAGUGGAAUUCCGCGUGUAGGAGUGAAAUCCGUAGAUAUGCGGAGGAACACCAGUGGCGAAGGCGGCUUCCUGGACCGAUACUGACGCUGAGACGCGAAAGCGUGGGGAGCAAACAGGAUUAGAUACCCCAGUAGUC